rnacentral:lncRNA from 1 species
UCGUCGUCACCCUUGGGGCCACCGUCGUCACCCUUGGGGCCACCGUCACCCUCGGGGCCACCAUCACCCGUGAGGUCGCCGUCGCCCGUGGGACCAAGGUCUUCCGUGGAGCCACCGUCAGCUGUGGGACCAGGGUCAUCCACGGAGCCACCAUCGCUGCGGGCGUCACCGUCACCCGUGGGACUCAGGUCAUCGGCGGAGCCGCCGUCGUCCCCGAGGCCACCGUCACCCAUGAGACUAAGGUCAUCUGCGGAGCCACCGUCACCCAUGAGACUAAGGUCAUCGGCGGAGCCGCCGUCAUCCGCGAGGCCACCGUCACCCAUGAGGCUCAGGUCAUCUGUUGAGCCGCCAUCGUCCACGAGGCCACCGUCAUCUGUGGGACUAAGGUCGUCUGUGGAGCCACCAUCGUCCCCGAGGCCACCGUCACCCAUGAGACUAAGGUCAUUUGUGGAGCCGCCGUCAUCUACGAGGCCACCGUCGUCUAUGGGACUAAGGUCAUCUGUGGAGCCACCAUCGUCCGCGAGGCCACCGUCACCCAGGAGACUUAGGUCAUUUGUGGAGCCACCAUCGUCCACGAGGCCACUGUCACCCAUGAGAUUAAGGUCAUCUGUGGAGCCACCGUCAUCCACGAGGUCACCGUCAUCCAUGGGACUAAGGUCAUCUGUGGAGCCACCAUCGUCCAUGAGGCUACUGUCACCCAUGGGACCAAGGUCAUCUGCGGAGCCAUCGUUGCCCAGGGGGACGCCGUCACCCAUGGGACUAAGGUCAUCCAUGAAGCCACCAUCGCCCGUGAGGCAACCGUCACCCAUGGGACUCAGGUCAUCCGUGGGGCCACCAUCAUCCGUGGGGCCACCAUCAUCCAUGGGGCCACCAUCAUCCGUGGAGCCACCAUCACCCGCGAGGCCACCGUCACCCAUGAGACUCAGGUCGUCCGCGAAGCCGCCGUCGCCCGCGAGGCCACCUUCACCCCCGGGCCCGCGGUCACCCGGGGCCACCCCGUCGCCCGCGGAGCCGCUGUCACCCGCGGGGGACCCGGAGCUGGCGCUGGACGAGCUGGACGUCACCGAGCUGGCGCUGGCCGCGGAGCUGCUGGGCGCCCCGGGGCCGGCGGGUGACAGCAGCGAGGAGGACGAAGGAGCUCGAGGGGACGCCCGCGGGCGCUACUACCGCUUCGCCCGCACCGUGGUGACGCGGGAGCCACCGCCGGGUCCGGCCGCCUUCCGCCUGCCCCACGUGGGCCACCAGCUGGACGGGGUGGACGACGGCGGGGCCAAGGGCUCGCGGGGCCGGCGGGACGGGCCACCGCCGGGGCCACCGCCGGCGCCGCCCGCCGCCGAGGACCUGCCCUCCGACAUCGUGGACUUCGUGCUCAAGAGCAUCGGGGACGGCGGCAAGGCGCCGGGCACCCAGGCGGCCGGGCCGGGCCUCAACGGUGACAACGGUGGUGGCUCCCCGUGGGACGUCGAGGAGCCCAUCCGGCGCCCCGCAGUGACGCGUCACCGAGGGGGCCCCCGGGGCCACGGCGCCGAUGGCCGCGGCGCCCAUGGAGAUGCCACCUACGGAGGUGCCACCCAUGGAGGUGCCGCUCGUGACNNNNNNNNNNNNNNNNNNNNNNNNNNNNNNNNNNNNNNNNNNNNNNNNNNNNNNNNNNNNNNNNN